AUACGUAGGGUGCAAGCGUUAAUCGGAAUUACUGGGCGUAAAGCGUGCGCAGGCGGUUUUGUAAGACAGAGGUGAAAUCCCCGGGCUCAACCUGGGAACUGCCUUUGUGACUGCAAGGCUAGAGUACGGCAGAGGGGGCUGGAAUUCCGCGUGUAGCAGUGAAAUGCGUAGCUAUGCGGAGGAACACCGAUGGCGAAGGCAAUCCCCUGGGCCUGUUCUGGCGCACAUGCACGAAAGCGGGGAGAACAAACAAGAUUAGAACCCCUGAUAGUCCGCGCCCUAAACGAUGUCAACUGGUGGUUGGGUCUACAUGGACUCAGUAACGAAGCUAACGCAUGAAGUUGACCGCCUGGGGAGUACGGCCGCAAGGUUGAAGCUCAAAUGAAUUGACGGGG
rnacentral:rRNA from 1 species